UACAGAGGUCCCGAGCGUUGUUCGGAUUCAUUGGGCGUAAAGGGUGCGUAGGCGGUCUGCUAAGUUUGAUGUGAAAUCCCGGGGCUCAACCCUGGAAUGGCAUUGAAUACUGGUGGACUAGAGUACUGGAGAGGAAACUGGAAUUUACGGUGUAGCAGUGAAAUGCGUAGAGAUCGUAAGGAAGACCAGUGGCGAAGGCGAGUUUCUGGACAGUAACUGACGCUGAGGCACGAAGGCCAGGGGAGCAAACGGGG
rnacentral:rRNA from 1 species